AUUGAACGCUGGCGGCACGCCUAACACAUGCAAGUCGAGCGGCAGCGAGACUAGUAGCAAUACUAGUUGUCGGCGAGCGGCGGACGGGUGAGUAACACGUAGGAAUCUGCCCUUAAGCGGGGGAUAACCAAGGGAAACUUUGGCUAAUACCGCAUAAUCUCGAGAGAGCAAAGCUGCCCGCAAGGGUGGCACUUGAGGAGGAGCCUGCGUCCGAUUAGCUAGUUGGUGGGGUAAUGGCCUACCAAGGCGAUGAUCGGUAACUGGUCUGAGAGGACGACCAGUCACACUGGGACUGAGAGACGGCCCAGACUCCUACGGGAGGCAGCAGUGGGGAAUAUUGGACAAGGGGGGCAACCCUGAUCCAGCGAUGCCGCGUGAGUGAAGAAGGCCUUCGGGUCGUAAAGCUCUUUAGGUUGGGAAGAAGGGUAUUGGCUGAAUAAUCCAGUACUUUGACGGUACCGACAGAAUAAGCACCGGCAAACUCUGUGCCAGCCGCCGCAGUAACAC
rnacentral:rRNA from 1 species